AGAGUUUGAUCAUGGCUCAGAUUGAACGCUGGCGGCAGGCCUAACACAUGCAAGUCGAGCGGUAGCACAGAGAGCUUGCUCUCGGGUGACGAGCGGCGGACGGGUGAGUAAUGUCUGGGAAACUGCCUGAUGGAGGGGGAUAACUACUGGAAACGGUAGCUAAUACCGCAUAAUGUCGCAAGACCAAAGUGGGGGACCUUCGGGCCUCAUGCCAUCAGAUGUGCCCAGAUGGGAUUAGCUAGUAGGUGGGGUAACGGCUCACCUAGGCGACGAUCCCUAGCUGGUCUGAGAGGAUGACCAGCCACACUGGAACUGAGACACGGUCCAGACUCCUACGGGAGGCAGCAGUGGGGAAUAUUGCACAAUGGGCGCAAGCCUGAUGCAGCCAUGCCGCGUGUGUGAAGAAGGCCUUCGGGUUGUAAAGCACUUUCAGCGGGGAGGAAGGCGAUAAGGUUAAUAACCUUGUCGAUUGACGUUACCCGCAGAAGAAGCACCGGCUAACUCCGUGCCAGCAGCCGCGGUAAUACGGAGGGUGCAAGCGUUAAUCGGAAUUACUGGGCGUAAAGCGCACGCAGGCGGUCUGUCAAGUCGGAUGUGAAAUCCCCGGGCUCAACCUGGGAACUGCAUUCGAAACUGGCAGGCUAGAGUCUUGUAGAGGGGGGUAGAAUUCCAGGUGUAGCGGUGAAAUGCGUAGAGAUCUGGAGGAAUACCGGUGGCGAAGGCGGCCCCCUGGACAAAGACUGACGCUCAGGUGCGAAAGCGUGGGGAGCAAACAGGAUUAGAUACCCUGGUAGUCCACGCUGUAAACGAUGUCGAUUUGGAGGUUGUGCCCUUGAGGCGUGGCUUCCGGAGCUAACGCGUUAAAUCGACCGCCUGGGGAGUACGGCCGCAAGGUUAAAACUCAAAUGAAUUGACGGGGGCCCGCACAAGCGGUGGAGCAUGUGGUUUAAUUCGAUGCAACGCGAAGAACCUUACCUGGUCUUGACAUCCACAGAACUUUCCAGAGAUGGAUUGGUGCCUUCGGGAACUGUGAGACAGGUGCUGCAUGGCUGUCGUCAGCUCGUGUUGUGAAAUGUUGGGUUAAGUCCCGCAACGAGCGCAACCCUUAUCCUUUGUUGCCAGCGGU
rnacentral:rRNA from 1 species